UGCUUGCACUGGGUGGAUGAGUGGCGAACGGGUGAGUAAUACGUGAGUAACCUGCCCUUGACUCUGGGAUAAGCCUGGGAAACUGGGUCUAAUACUGGAUACGACGGCGCAUCGCAUGGUGUGUCGUGGAAAGGGUUUUACUGGUUUUGGAUGGGCUCACGGCCUAUCAGCUUGUUGGUGGGGUAAUGGCUCACCAAGGCGACGACGGGUAGCCGGCCUGAGAGGGUGACCGGCCACACUGGGACUGAGACACGGCCCAGACUCCUACGGGAGGCAGCAGUGGGGAAUAUUGCACAAUGGGCGGAAGCCUGAUGCAGCGACGCCGCGUGAGGGAUGACGGCCUUCGGGUUGUAAACCUCUUUCAGCACGGAAGAAGCGAGAGUGACGGUACGUGCAGAAGAAGCGCCGGCUAACUACGUGCCAGCAGCCGCGGUAAUACGUAGGGCGCAAGCGUUGUCCGGAAUUAUUGGGCGUAAAGAGCUCGUAGGCGGUUUGUCGCGUCUGCUGUG
rnacentral:rRNA from 1 species